rnacentral:rRNA from 1 species
AGUCGUACGAGAAAUCCUGGGCAACUGGGAGAGUAAAGUGGCGCACGGGUGAGUAACGCGUGGGUAACCUGCCCUUGAAUUGGGGAUAACUUUCCGAAAGGAAAGUUAAUACCGAAUAACAUUCCGAUCUCCACGGAGGUUGGAAUCAAAGGUGGCCUCUGCAUGCAAGCUACUGUUCAAGGAUGGGCCCGCGUACCAUUAGCUUGUUGGUAGGGUAACGGCCUACCAAGGCAUCGAUGGUUAGCUGGUCUGAGAGGAUGACCAGCCACACUGGAACUGAGACACGGUCCAGACUCCUACGGGAGGCAGCAGUGGGGAAUCUUGCGCAAUGGGGGAAACCCUGACGCAGCAACGCCGCGUGGGUGAUGAAGGCCUUCGGGUCGUAAAGCCCUGUCAGGUGGGAAGAAUCGUAUCGGUACAAACAGUGCCGAUGCUUGACGGUACCACCGGAGGAAGCACCGGCUAACUCCGUGCCAGCAGCCGCGGUAAUACGGAGGGUGCAAGCGUUGUUCGGAAUUACUGGGCGUAAAGCGCGUGCAGGCGGUUGAGCAAGUCAGAUGUGAAAGCCUUCCGCUUAACGGAAGAAGUGCAUUUGAAACUACUCGGCUUGAGUUCGGGAGAGGAGAGUGGAAUUCCCGGUGUAGAGGUGAAAUUCGUAGAUAUCGGGAGGAACACCGGUGGCGA